GUGCUCUGGUGGAGCGUCUUGGUGGUGAUGAGACUGGCGUGACAUUUGGAGUAGUCGUACCAGAACUGCUGCUUGUUUGCGGUUGGUGCAUGCAUCUGAGUGUUUCAUUCAGCAUCUUACACACAAUGUCAUACUGUAUGGCUCAAGUGGACAUACAUAUCUUUACUGGAUGUGGACAAGGACAUUUAGAUUGGAUUACAUUUCAGCUUUUACUUACUGCGUUUGAUACUCACAAUCAAGAUGAGGGGAGUGUGGAUGACGCCUUGGAGGUGUGUCCAAAAUUUGGAGUGGGGGGAAAGAACAUACGGACGAUAAUCUUCGUGGCAGGGUAGCCUGCUGUGUUUGGGCCGGAACAUACGACCUUGCUUUCUUUUCGGCCACAGGUUUUUUGUGGUGAUGUCUUUCAGAAGUGCCACUUCUGCUGCUCCAUACUUCUUUUGAUGGACCUUUUAAUGAAAGUGCAAUUUGGUUAUGGCCAUUCCUUUACAAGCAUACCCUAUACUACAAUGGACACUUUACCUGCUUCCGCAGCAUCAUCAUCAUCCGAUGUGAUAGGAGUUACUGGCCGACGAGGAGUGCUGCUUUUUUCAGACACUGUAUAAAAUGAAUUAUAAUAAAAAAU